rnacentral:rRNA from 1 species
CCUACGGGAGGCAGCAGUGAGGAAUAUUGGUCAAUGGGCGAAAGCCUGAUGGAGCAACGCCGCGUGCAGGAUGAAGGCCUUCGGGUUGUAAACUGCUUUUAUAAGCGAGAAAUAUGAUGGUAACUUAUGAAUAAGGAUCGGCUAACUACGUGCCAGCAGCCGCGGUCAUACGUAGGAUCCGAGCAUUAUCCGGAGUGACUGGGUGUAAAGAGUUGCGUAGGUGGCAUAAUAAGUAGCUAGUGAAAUCUGGUGGCUCAACCAUUCAGACUAUUAGCUAAACUGUUAAGCUCGAGACCGUUAGGGGUAACUGGAAUUUCUAGUGUAGGAGUGAAAUCCGUAGAUAUUAGAAGGAACACCAAUAGCGUAGGCAGGUUGCUGAGACGGUUCUGACACUAAGGCACGAAAGCGUAGGGAGCAAACGGGAUUAGAUACCCCAGUAGUC